UACGGAGGGUGCGAGCGUUGUCCGGAAUCAUUGGGCGUAAAGGGCGCGUAGGUGGCGGGACAAGCGUGCGGUGAAAGCUCGGGGCUCAACCCCGAGUCGGCCGUGCGAACUGUCUUGCUUGAGCACUGUAGAGGCAGGCGGAAUUCCGGGUGUAGCGGUGGAAUGCGUAGAGAUCCGGAAGAACACCGGUGGCGAAGGCGGCCUGCUGGGCAGUUGCUGACACUGAGGCGCGACAGCGUGGGAGCAACAGGAUA
rnacentral:rRNA from 1 species